UACGAAGGGUGCUAGCGUUGUUCGGAAUUACUGGGCGUAAAGCGAGUGUAGGUGGUCUCCACAGCCAGGGGUGAAAUCCCGCAGCUUAACUGCGGAAUUGCCUUUGGUACUAGGAGGCUAGAGUCUGUCAGAGGAUAGUGGAAUUUCCAGUGUAGCGGUGAAAUGCGUAGAUAUUGGAAGGAACACCAGUGGCGAAGGCGACUGUCUGGGGCAGAACUGACACUAAAACUCGAAAGCGUGGGUAGCAAACAGG
rnacentral:rRNA from 1 species